UACGUAGGGUGCAAGCGUUGUCCGGAAUCAUUGGGCGUAAAGCGCGCGUAGGUGGCUUCGUAAGUCCGUUGUGAAAGUCAAAGGGCUCAACCUUUGAAUGCCGAUGGAUACUGCGAAGCUAGAGUACGGAAGAGGCGAGUGGAAUUCCUGGUGUAGCGGUGGAAUGCGCAGAUAUCAGGAAGAACACCCGUGGCUAAGGCGGCUCUCUAGUACGGUACUGACGCUGAGACGCGAAA
rnacentral:rRNA from 1 species